rnacentral:rRNA from 1 species
GACGAACGCUGGCGGCGUGCUUAACACAUGCAAGUCGAACGGACAGGCCCUGCUUUUGUGGGGUGCUCGAGUGGCGAACGGGUGAGUAACACGUGAGUAACCUGCCCUUGACUUUGGGAUAACUUCAGGAAACUGGGGCUAAUAUCGGAUAGGAGCUCCUGCUGCAUGGUGGGGGUUGGAAAGUUUCGGCGGUUGGGGAUGGACUCGCGGCUUAUCAGCUUGUUGGUGGGGUAGUGGCUUACCAAGGCUUUGACGGGUAGCCGGCCUGAGAGGGUGACCGGCCACAUUGGGACUGAGAGACGGCCCAGACUCCAACGGGAGGCAGCAGUGGAGAAUAUUGCACAAUGGGCGGAAGCCUGAUGCAGCAACGCCGCGUGCGGGAUGACGGCCUUCGGGUUGUAAACCGCUUUCGCCUGUGACGAAGCGUGAGUGACGGUAAUGGGUAAAGAAGCACCGGCUAACUACGUG